rfam:Octopus bimaculoides Scaffold12729_contig_27, whole genome shotgun sequence.
ACAACGGCCCUUUUCAGGGCCAUUUAACAUUUCAAAGUUAGUCGACU